AANUGGGGAAUAACNCAUCCAAANAUGUGCUAAUACCGCAUAUCUCUCAGGAGGAAAGCAGGGGAUCGAAAGACCUUGCGCUAAAGGAGCGGCUGAUGUCUGAUUAGCUAGUUGGUGGGGUAAAGGCUUACCAAGGCAACGAUCAGUAGCUGGUCUGAGAGGACGACCAGCCACACUGGGACUGAGACACGGCCCAGACUCCUACGGGAGGCAGCAGUGGGGAAUUUUGGACAACGGGCGAAAGCCUGAUCCAGCCAUGCCGCGUGAGUGAAGAAGGCCUUCGGGUUGUAAAGCUCUUUUAGUCGGAAAGAAAGAGUCAUAGUAAAUAGCUAUGAUUUAUGACGGUACCGACAGAAAAAGCACCGGCUAACUACGUGCCAGCAGCCGCGGUAAUACGUAGGGUGCGAGCGUUAAUCGGAAUUACUGGGCGUAAAGGGUGCGCAGGCGGCCUUGUAAGUCAG
rnacentral:rRNA from 1 species